UAGCACAAAAAGUUCGGAGAAUAUUCUGACAAUGUUCCGACUUUUUGGGCAGCAUUUGAAUAUUCAGAGAAUAUUCUGAGAAUAUUCUGGAUCAGCAGGUAAACUCGGAAUAUUCUCAGAAUGUCCUCUGAACAUUCGAGCUGAGCUCGUACCCGCCCGUGGCGGUGCGGACCACCUGGUAUAUAGGUCCCAUGUAAUUUUCAUGCUUCAAACGCGUUUUCUCGACAUCACAAAAAUGUCACACCUGAUUUAUGCACUGAACCCUUCAUUUAGUUACGGGACUUGGAAUUUCUUAGUUUUUUUCACUUUAAUAUUUUUUCAUUUUUUUUCCUUCCUUAAUUUUUUUACUACACUUAUUAAAUUCCGGGCCCGUCUCUUCGUUUUUCCGCGCUUAAACGAAUCAAUUUUUUAAUUUUUUUAAAAUGUAUUAAUUAAUUUAUAUUAUAUAUUAUUAUUUGAUUUUCGAUGGUAAAAUCUAUUUAUAUAUUUUUAUGGGGUAUUUUGUUAAAAUUACUUUUAUUACUUAUUUUUUCAAUUGCUUUCAUACUUAUAAUAUAUUUAUUUAUUUUCUUUUUACGUAAACGUUUCCAAGUGUCACAGCACGCGUCCAUAAAAAGUUACUCGCUGUGGAACGUAGAUUUUCUUAUUCUAGCCGUGGACAUUGGAAGAAGGACCGAUUGUAUAUAAUGUUGUCGCAAAGGCCCUUGAAGGGGCACUGUUUAUGCACCGAUACGGGCAGUCCGAGUCAAUCUUCCUGCAAUGCAGCGACCUUUGGCAGCGACGUAUCAACUCUUUCGAUCUUAUCCUAUUCUCGACGAAGAUUUUUUUUCCUCAGUGAAACAUAUUUUUGAGUCAAAAAAAUUGAGUGUAACUGAAAUGAAGUAUUUUAUUUAAAUUUAGAAAAAAAUUGGUCUCAUUGAUGUUUCUUUAGAUGAAAAAAAAAUAUUAAUUUUAAUUAAAGAAAAUUUCUUUGUCAAGAAAAAAUUAGCUGUGUGGGUGCCUUUCUUUAGAUUUUCGCGUUUUCGGAUGAUCUGCUCGUGCUUGAAGAAAGUUCAUACGAUCAUACGAUUCGGCUUCUUCCGGAACUUUUCGGGUAAGUACGACAGCGUGCUUCGUAGUUUCCCUCCAAAACUCACGACCUAACCUACAAUUCCGCCGUCCGUUUCCGAUAUGCCUGGUUGCGCUUUGCGCUAGCUAGCCGUCCAGCCGUUACCUCGUCUCGUUGUUACAGCCAGAGACGAUUUUGGUGUAUUUUUCCAGUCUCUCUUCUGAUGCAGCCUCCAAAAUAAAUGUUUUUGAAGGGCUUCCUGCACUCCAGCUUGCUCCCUCUUUCUGGAUUUCUUACAUUCUGGAUUAAGAAAGCGGCUACUAUUCUAUGACAUGGCUGUCAGUUUCUCAUCUGAGCAGUCAUCCGAUAGGAAAUUAGCAGCGACUAAAAAUCAUCUGGUUUUGAGAAAUUCACCAUGAAUCGCCUCAAAGCAACAUCAUCAAAAGAAGUUGAAGUGUGUUCAGAGAAAAUAAACAUAAGUACUUAGCAGCUAUUGUUUUCCUAAAAAUUUUAUGUCUGACCGGAAAUUUUUUAAUAAAUUUGAAGUGGUGUGAAGUUCGAUUAGUUACCUUUAAUAUGCAUUGCUCUAUUCUAAAGGAGAAAAUAAAUGAAAUGGAAAGUGCUGUGUCCAAAGUAUCAUGAAUAGCAUCAUUGGUGUUUUUCUUCAGGUUUUAUUUUUGAUGAAGGAUCAGUUGAAUUUGGUGAGUCAUAUCUAUUAUAUUUUCCUUUUGCAUGCUAUUUUGCCACAGGAAACUGUCAAUAAAUGAAAUAAAAUUACCUAAUGCCCUUGUAAUUGAAUCAAUUCUGCAUUUUUUCCCUUCGGUUUGUUGGCUCCAUGAGUCUGAAGCAUGUAGGUACAAAUUUAUUCUGAGAAAUAAGCCUGAAACGGGUGGUGUAUAUCACCCUGUUAAAUUUCACCAUAAAGUAUUGCAGCUAACAGGCCUCGUUCCGACACUAAAGCUGCAGUAAUAUUAAGAAAAAGAAGAUAAGGAAGGAGCAAAUGGAACUUUUCGGCUCUGAAGUGAUGUAAGCUUCAAUUGAUAAUCAAUGCAUGAAUAAAUCGUCACCUUUCGGCCAAAGUAUCACAAGAUCCAUGUGAUGUUCACAAAUUUCCGCCGCCAUUUGAUUUUUUUACAGAGAAAUUGUUCGACAAAGCUGUCCAAAAAUUUCACUAAAUUUUCUCAGUGCUGCUGAUAAAAAUCAGUGAAAUGUUCAAAAAGAUUCAACGAUUUCUCUAUAAAAAAAUUAAAUGGCAGCAGAAAUUUUUAAACCUCGCAUGGAGCUUGCUUUCUUCCUAAAAAAAGGCGCAGCUAAGCAAUGUCAAAGCGCACAAGUAGGUGUUAUUUUUGGCGUUCGAAUUGUAAAUUUUAUUUUCUCAUUUGACCACUUCUCCAGUUCAAGCUAUCAUCAGCGUUCUGUUCUCAAUCGCCUACAGCUUAUUUGCUAAAUUUGAUUUUUGAAUAAAGAUACUUCUUUCGUUUUUCCUCUCUA